rnacentral:sRNA from 1 species
AAAAUCUGAACAAAAUGAGUGAGAACUCACUACCGUCUCCUCAUCGAAACUGAGGUCCAGCACGUUGCCUCCCUUGGGGUUAAGGGUGGGACUGGUUAGCAGUGAGGGCGUCUCCGACUGUGUCACACACACGCAUGGAGGAGCCAGGUCACCACCAUUUGCGAGGCUCCCGUGUGAGGGUGGGCCAUGUACAGAUAUUCUAGCGGCCCUCUUGGAAUACAAGGUCCAUGUAAAGGCACUGAGGAGCAUAGAGCCAUCUGGCUUGUCCAGUGGUGGUAGGUGUCGCAGUAGACCCUAGCCUCAGACAGUUGACGUCUUAGCUUGGAAAGGUGCAUUUUGUCCUGAUUCCUGCUGCAGAUGCACUAAUUGGGGCUCUGGUGAUGUCGAUUCUAAAGCAAUGAAGCUUCUGUGGUUUGUGAUUGGAGCCCCAGGUCAGGUCUGAGGCCCUCGCCGUUGCAUCCCUUUGGGUUGCUGAGAUUCCUGAGUGCCAUGUGGGCUGCAGUGGCUGCAGAGACCUGGGGGAAUGGUGGCAGUUGUGAAAGUUAAUAGGCCCAUUUCUGCCCUUGGCAGUGGCUGAAUUGCAACUCCUGUCACGUGCUUGAGUCUUGGAGGUCGCCAUGGACUAUGCUGUGGUCCUAGGCCUGCAUUCCUCCUGCAGGUUGGCCAGAGGCCCAGAGAAGAAUGUUUGUGCAGGUGAGGAAAAGUGCAGUGUGAUUUACUGGGACAAUAUGUCCGCUAGGCUUGCAGGCACUGUUGUUCUGUUUUCAGUAAUACAGUGGGGUCCUUUUGGAGCUGCCAUCAGCUGGGUACAGAGGACAGGGCAUUGCUUGUCCUUAGGAGGCUCGGUGAAAGGUGACCUUUGUGGCCUUGUUGUCCCACUGCCAAUAGAAGGACUCUCAAAGGGCAUCUUUGGUGCCUUGAAGAGUUGCAAUAAAGAGGCCAAGGAACCAGCCCAGUGGGUAGUUACGUGGUGUACGCACAUGCCCCUUGGCCGCCAUUUGUCUCUUCGGCCUGGAAUUAUCAAGAUUCCCUAAGGUUGGGGCCAGCCGGCCAGCCCUGAUAGCACCCAUGUGUUUGCCCCCCUGGCAGUGAAGCAUCAACCUUUGAGGACCACCACGGUUGUGAUAGACAUUGCUCAUUGGUUGGCAUACCAAGGCUGCCUCAGUGUAGGAGACAACAGCUCCCAUGGCACUAUGGCAGAGACCUGGCACAUCCACGGUCUUCCCUGGCAGGUCUUCUGAAGUCUUCCUGAAAGCAUCCCUGGUGAUCUGUGAGCCCUUGGUCGUGUUGCCCGCCUUCUUCCUGUGGGUCUUGCUGGAUGCUCAUUGUCCCUGUGAGCCGAGGCCCUGGAGGCUUCAGAUUUAGGUGAGUCGCCCUUUGUUGCAUAAUGAAUUCAAUUUGGACCAAGCCCUGCAUUAUGAGAGCUUUCUCUAGGGUGUGGUCAGUACCCAGGGCCCUGCAGGCUGUAGAUUGGAGGAUAAUCUGGCCAGGAAAGGAAUCCCGUUUCUGUGGGAGUGACCCCUGGUUCCUGGUACCUGAGGAUGACCAGGUUCCAUCUUGCAGUUUCCAGGGGAGGCUGGACUUUGAUUGGGGCUGACUGGCAGGAAGAUACGCAUGCCCUGAAUUCUUUUCCUAUUGGAGGGUGCAGUGGGCCAUAUCUGCCCUAGUGCCAAGUUCACCUUACUGUGCAGUUGUCUGGGAAAAUUUUCUUGUUAGGUAGGAGGUAGGACUUGUGACAAGGACCCCUGAGCUAUAGUAGUAGCUCACGUAGUCUCAGGGUAUGUGGCAUUCACACAGAUUCUCCGCAAGGUGACCCUGGGCAGUCAGGUCUCUGCGUUGGUCAGAGAUCAUGGUUCAUGGAGAUUGGGAGCCUAGAGCCUAUGUCAACAGCCCCUCAGUGAAAUUUUGCAUGGAUCUUGUGGAAGAUGCCAAGUGUCAUCCCAUUUCGUGGGAUGGUGGGAGGUCAGGACUCCAUGGAGGUGGCACGCAUGUUCAUACUGCAGGGCCUUUGCAUGUGGUCUCUGAGACUUGGAUACCCAGACAGAUUUCCAGACACACACCCAAAAUGCUGAGAAUGCAUUUUUAUUGGUACACCAGAAUGCAGGCACUCAAACUCACAUCGAAUCCCCUGCUACCCUUGCACGCUUGGUCAGAAAGACACCCACAUGCACUUGAGCCUAAUUUGCCGCACUCUUUUGAAAGAUAGGUAACCAGUCGUCUGUAAAGGAUCAAUAUAGUUGGGGUGCAGAUACAGGCCUUCCCCUAGGGAAACACUUGCAUCAGUAUUAGUGAGAGACCAAGUACACAUCUGAAGCAUUCCUGUGCUUUCUGUCCACUUGUCAGGUGAAGUUGCCACGUAUGACUGUCCAUCAGCCAGGAGAUGAACCCCCACCCGUGAGGCAGUGACUCAAGGUGCAAGGGAGUCCGGCAAGAAGUGUGGCGCACCCGAGUUGCUGCCACUGCUUUUUGGAUCACCCAGCACGGUACGGCUUCUCCUGCCCCAAGACGUGUUGUGAAUUUCAGGUUUCCUGGGACUGCCUGAGUGGUUGUACGUAUACAGGGACCGUUCCUCUUGCUGAGAAGCCUGAUGGCUCUGAGUUCCCCUGGCUGCUGGAGGACUCCCGGGUCACUGGCUCCUCCUGGGAGCAGCCCUUCCUGCCGUGAGGAGGUGGGCAGCAAGCCAGCACGUGCUCGGAUCGAUGAUGACACCCUCACAUGCAUUCCUUGGAAAAUCUGAACAAAAUGAGUGAGAACUCACUACCGUCUCCUCA